rnacentral:tRNA from 1 species
UCCUGGAUAGCUCAGUAGUAAAGAACCUGCCUGCUAUGCAGGAGACACAGGUUCGAUCCCUGGGUCAGAAA